rnacentral:rRNA from 1 species
CUUCCACGGUCUCUGCGACGCAGCUAACGCAUUAAGUGCCCCGCCUGGGGAGUACGAUCGCAAGAUUAAAACUCAAAGGAAUUGACGGGGGCCCCGCACAAGCAGCGGAGCAUGCGGCUUAAUUCGACGCAACGCGAAGAACCUUACCAAGGCUUGACAUAUACAGGAAUAUGGCAGAGAUGUCAUAGCCGCAAGGUCUGUAUACAGGUGGUGCAUGGUUGUCGUCAGCUCGUGUCGUGAGAUGUUGGGUUAAGUCCCGCAACGAGCGCAACCCUCGUUCUGUGUUGCCAGCAUUUAGUUGGGGACUCACAGGAGACUGCCGGGGUUAACUCGGAGGAAGGUGGGGAUGACGUCAAAUCAUCAUGCCCCUUAUGUCUUGGGCUGCACGCAUGCUACAAUGGCUGGUACAAACGGCUGCAAUACCGCAAGGUGGAGCGAAUCCGAGAAAGCCAGUCUCAGUUCGGAUUGGGGUCUGCAACUCGACCCCAUGAAGUCGGAGUUGCUAGUAAUCGUAGAUCAGCAACGCUACGGUGAAUACGUUCCCGGGGCUUGUACACACCGCCCGUCACGUCACGAAAGUCGGUAACACCCGAAGUCAGUGGCCCAACCGCAAGGAGGGAGCUGCCGAAG